UGCCUUACAUGAGGCGGUACUAUGGCCAAUGAGGUAAAUCCGAGGCGUGGUUAUUGCUAGUUGAAAAUUAUUAUUAUUAUUAUUAUUAUUAUUAUUAUUAUUAUUAUUAUUA
rnacentral:snRNA from 1 species